UUAAACCCUCCAUAACUCUCUUUCUCUCUCCUAGGUCUUCGACACUUCGGCAUCCCUAACCCUCCUUCUUCCCUCCCGUUUUCUCUCUCCUUCCUCUUCGAUCUUCUUCCUCCCAUCCUCUUCCCCAUACCCCAUUCUCUAUUCUAAACAAUGGUGAUCCGCCUCUCGCCGUCUCCAUCACCAUCAGCGUCUGAUCUUCUGGAGAUCCGGUUCUUUCGAUUUCAAUUUUUUAAGAUUUGGGGAAGAAAUCGAGUUCCAAAUCACGCUCUUUCUCUCUCUCAGAAAGAGUUGUCCAGUCUGAAAGAUUUGGAAAAUGCUUGCUUGAAUUGAGUGGAAAUAAUGCCAUAAUUGUCAUGGAUGAUGCUGACAUUAAGCUGGUUAUUCGUUCUGUUGUCUUUGCGGCUGUUGGUACAGCUGGUCAGAGCUGUACAACCUGCCGUAGGCUGCUGCUUCAUGAAAGCGUAUAUGGGAAGGUGAUUGAGCAAUUGCUUGAUGUCUACAAACAAGUGAAGAUAGGGGAAGAAGGGAAUUGAUUCUUAUAUGACAAGUUUGAUCCUCAUCACCUUCUUUAAGACAUGUUUCUUUGAUGAAUUGUAAAAUCCAAAGUCUCUACUACAUUUAUUAAACAAAAAUUAUUUUGGU